AACGAACGCUGGCGGCACGCCUAACACAUGCAAGUCGAACGGUAACGGCUCUUCGGAGGCCAACGAGUGGCGGACGGGUGAGUACGCGUAGCUACCUGCCCUCUGGCGGGGGACAACAGUUGGAAACGACUGCUAAUACCGCAUAUCUCCUACGGGAGAAAGACCUUCGGGUCACCAGAGGAGGGGGCUGCGUUGGAUUAGCUAGUUGGUAAGGUAACGGCUUACCAAGGCGACGAUCCAUAGCUGGUCUGAGAGGAUGAUCAGCCACACUGGGACUGAGACACGGCCCAGACUCCUACGGGAGGCAGCAGUGGGGAAUAUUGCGCAAUGGGGGCAACCCUGACGCAGCGAUGCCGCGUGAGUAAAGAAGGCCUUCGGGUUGUAAAAGCUCUUUUAGUAGGGACGAUAGUGACGGUACCUACAGAAAAAAGCUCCGGGCUAACUCCGUGCCCAGCAGCCGCGGUAAUUCCCUGUGCCAAGGCACACAGGGGGAUA
rnacentral:rRNA from 1 species